rnacentral:rRNA from 1 species
AGAGUUUGAUCCUGGCUCAGAAUCAACGCUGGCGGCCCGCCAAAGACAUGCAAGUCGAACGCGAAAGCCCCGCAAGGGGUAAGUAGAGUGGCAAACGGGUGAGUAACACGUGGGUGACCUGCCUUCGAGUGGGGGAUAACGUCCCGAAAGGGACGCUAAUACCGCAUGACAUCCUGCCUUUGGAAAGGCGGAGAUCAAAGCUGGGGAUCGCAAGACCUGGCGCUUGAAGAGGGGCCCGCGCCUGAUUAGCUAGUUGGUGGGGUAAUGGCCUACCAAGGCGACGAUCAGUAUCCGGCCUGAGAGGGCGGACGGACACACUGGGACUGAGACACGGCCCAGACUCCUACGGGAGGCAGCAGUGGGGAAUUGUUCGCAAUGGGCGCAAGCCUGACGACGCAACGCCGCGUGGAGGACGAAGAUCUUCGGGUCGUAAACUCCUGUCGAGCGGGAAGAACACCCAUCCAGUGAACAACUGGGAGGGCUGACGGUACCGCUAAAGGAAGCCCCGGCUAACUCCGUGCCAGCAGCCGCGGUAAUACGGGGGGGGCAAGCGUUGUUCGGAAUUACUGGGCGUAAAGGGCGCGUAGGCGGCCUUCUAAGUCACACGUGAAAUCCCUCGGCUCAACCGAGGAACUGCGUGUGAUACUGGAAGGCUUGAAUCCGGGAGA